GUUAAGCGACUAAGCGUACACGGUGGAUGCCCUGGCAGUCAGAGGCGAUGAAGGACGUGCUAAUCUGCGAUAAGCGUCGGUAAGGUGAUAUGAACCGUUAUAACCGGCGAUUUCCGAAUGGGGAAACCCAGUGUGAUUCGUCACACUAUCAUUAACUGAAUCCAUAGGUUAAUGAGGCGAACCGGGGGAACUGAAACAUCUAAGUACCCCGAGGAAAAGAAAUCAACCGAGAUUCCCCCAGUAGCGGCGAGCGAACGGGGAGCAGCCCAGAGCCUGAAUCAGUGUGUGUGUUAGUGGAAGCGUCUGGAAAGGCGUGCGAUACAGGGUGACAGCCCCGUACACAAAAAUGCACAUACUGUGAGCUCGAUGAGUAGGGCGGGACACGUGGUAUCCUGUCUGAAUAUGGGGGGACCAUCCUCCAAGGCUAAAUACUCCUGACUGACCGAUAGUGAACCAGUACCGUGAGGGAAAGGCGAAAAGAACCCCGGCGAGGGGAGUGAAAAAGAACCUGAAACCGUGUACGUACAAGCAGUGGGAGCACGCUUAGGCGUGUGACUGCGUACCUUUUGUAUAAUGGGUCAGCGACUUAUAUUCUGUAGCAAGGUUAACCGAAUAGGGGAGCCGAAGGGAAACCGAGUCUUAACUGGGCGUUAAGUUGCAGGGUAUAGACCCGAAACCCGGUGAUCUAGCCAUGGGCAGGUUGAAGGUUGGGUAACACUAACUGGAGGACCGAACCGACUAAUGUUGAAAAAUUAGCGGAUGACUUGUGGCUGGGGGUGAAAGGCCAAUCAAACCGGGAGAUAGCUGGUUCUCCCCGAAAGCUAUUUAGGUAGCGCCUCGUGAAUUCAUCUCCGGGGGUAGAGCACUGUUUCGGCAAGGGGGUCAUCCCGACUUACCAACCCGAUGCAAACUGCGAAUACCGGAGAAUGUUAUCACGGGAGACACACGGCGGGUGCUAACGUCCGUCGUGAAGAGGGAAACAACCCAGACCGCCAGCUAAGGUCCCAAAGUCAUGGUUAAGUGGGAAACGAUGUGGGAAGGCCCAGACAGCCAGGAUGUUGGCUUAGAAGCAGCCAUCAUUUAAAGAAAGCGUAAUAGCUCACUGGUCGAGUCGGCCUGCGCGGAAGAUGUAACGGGGCUAAACCAUGCACCGAAGCUGCGGCAGCGACGCUUAUGCGUUGUUGGGUAGGGGAGCGUUCUGUAAGCCUGUGAAGGUGUACUGUGAGGUAUGCUGGAGGUAUCAGAAGUGCGAAUGCUGACAUAAGUAACGAUAAAGCGGGUGAAAAGCCCGCUCGCCGGAAGACCAAGGGUUCCUGUCCAACGUUAAUCGGGGCAGGGUGAGUCGACCCCUAAGGCGAGGCCGAAAGGCGUAGUCGAUGGGAAACAGGUUAAUAUUCCUGUACUUGGUGUUACUGCGAAGGGGGGACGGAGAAGGCUAUGUUGGCCGGGCGACGGUUGUCCCGGUUUAAGCGUGUAGGCUGGUUUUCCAGGCAAAUCCGGAAAAUCAAGGCCGAGGCGUGAUGACGAGGCACUACGGUGCUGAAGCAACAAAUGCCCUGCUUCCAGGAAAAGCCUCUAAGCAUCAGGUAACAUCAAAUCGUACCCCAAACCGACACAGGUGGUCAGGUAGAGAAUACCAAGGCGCUUGAGAGAACUCGGGUGAAGGAACUAGGCAAAAUGGUGCCGUAACUUCGGGAGAAGGCACGCUGAUACGUAGGUGAAGCGACUUGCUCGUGGAGCUGAAAUCAGUCGAAGAUACCAGCUGGCUGCAACUGUUUAUUAAAAACACAGCACUGUGCAAACACGAAAGUGGACGUAUACGGUGUGACGCCUGCCCGGUGCCGGAAGGUUAAUUGAUGGGGUUAGCGCAAGCGAAGCUCUUGAUCGAAGCCCCGGUAAACGGCGGCCGUAACUAUAACGGUCCUAAGGUAGCGAAAUUCCUUGUCGGGUAAGUUCCGACCUGCACGAAUGGCGUAAUGAUGGCCAGGCUGUCUCCACCCGAGACUCAGUGAAAUUGAACUCGCUGUGAAGAUGCAGUGUACCCGCGGCAAGACGGAAAGACCCCGUGAACCUUUACUAUAGCUUGACACUGAACAUUGAGCCUUGAUGUGUAGGAUAGGUGGGAGGCUUUGAAGUGUGGACGCCAGUCUGCAUGGAGCCGACCUUGAAAUACCACCCUUUAAUGUUUGAUGUUCUAACGUGGACCCGUAAUCCGGGUUGCGGACAGUGUCUGGUGGGUAGUUUGACUGGGGCGGUCUCCUCCUAAAGAGUAACGGAGGAGCACGAAGGUUGGCUAAUCCUGGUCGGACAUCAGGAGGUUAGUGCAAUGGCAUAAGCCAGCUUGACUGCGAGCGUGACGGCGCGAGCAGGUGCGAAAGCAGGUCAUAGUGAUCCGGUGGUUCUGAAUGGAAGGGCCAUCGCUCAACGGAUAAAAGGUACUCCGGGGAUAACAGGCUGAUACCGCCCAAGAGUUCAUAUCGACGGCGGUGUUUGGCACCUCGAUGUCGGCUCAUCACAUCCUGGGGCUGAAGUAGGUCCCAAGGGUAUGGCUGUUCGCCAUUUAAAGUGGUACGCGAGCUGGGUUUAGAACGUCGUGAGACAGUUCGGUCCCUAUCUGCCGUGGGCGCUGGAGAACUGAGGGGGGCUGCUCCUAGUACGAGAGGACCGGAGUGGACGCAUCACUGGUGUUCGGGUUGUCAUGCCAAUGGCACUGCCCGGUAGCUAAAUGCGGAAGAGAUAAGUGCUGAAAGCAUCUAAGCACGAAACUUGCCCCGAGAUGAGUUCUCCCUGACCCUUUAAGGGUCCUGAAG
rnacentral:rRNA from 1 species